rnacentral:rRNA from 1 species
UUACGCUGUUAUCCCUAAGGUAAUUUAGUCUUAUAAUCCACAAAAAUGGAUCAAAUAUAUAUAAAUAAAUAUAAAAAAAUAAAAAGAGUUAAUUAAAUCUUUCCAUCACCCCAACAAAAUAAAUUUUCAAAUUAAAAAAAUAUCAUACAAAAAAAUAAAAAUAUAUGUAAACUCUAUAGGGUCUUCUCGUCCCAAAAAAAUAUUUAGGCAUUUUAACCUAAAAUUUAAAUUCAAUAAAUAAAUUAAAGACAGUUUACACCUCGUCAAACCAUUCAUUCCAGCCUACAAUUAAAAGACUAAUGAUUAUGCUACCUUUGCACGGUCAAAAUACCGCGGCCCUUCAAUACUCAGUGGGCAGGCCAUACAUCAAAAUAUAUUCAAGAAGAGAUGUUUUUGAUAAACAGGCG